rnacentral:rRNA from 2 species
UGGGGAAUAUUGCACAAUGGGGGAAACCCUGAUGCAGCGACGCCGCGUGAACGAAGAAGGUAUUCGUAUCGUAAAGUUCUGUCCUAUGGGAAGAUAAUGACAGUACCAUAGAAGAAAGCUCCGGCUAAAUACGUGCCAGCAGCCGCGGUAAUACGUAUGGAGCGAGCGUUGUCCGGAAUUAUUGGGCGUAAAGGGUACGCAGGCGGUUUAAUAAGUCGAAUGUUAAAGAUCGGGGCUCAACCCCGUAAAGCAUUGGAAACUGAUAAACUUGAGUAGUGGAGAGGAAAGUGGAAUUCCUAGUGGAGUGGUGAAAUACGUAGAUAUUAGGAGGAAUACCAGUAGCGAAGGCGACUUUCUGGACACAAACUGACGCUGAGGUACGAAAGCGUGGGGAGCAAACAGG